rnacentral:rRNA from 1 species
GGCGAGGGGAGUGAAAAAGAACCUGAAACCGUGUACGUACAAGCAGUGGGAGCACAGAGCAAUCUGUGUGACUGCGUACCUUUUGUAUAAUGGGUCAGCGACUUAUAUUCUGUAGCAAGGUUAACCGAAUAGGGGAGCCGAAGGGAAACCGAGUCUUAACUGGGCGUUAAGUUGCAGGGUAUAGACCCGAAACCCGGUGAUCUAGCCAUGGGCAGGUUGAAGGUUGGGUAACACUAACUGGAGGACCGAACCGACUAAUGUUGAAAAAUUAGCGGAUGACUUGUGGCUGGGGGUGAAAGGCCAAUCAAACCGGGAGAUAGCUGGUUCUCCCCGAAAGCUAUUUAGGUAGCGCCUCGUGAAUUCAUCUCCGGGGGUAGAGCACUGUUUCGGCAAGGGGGUCAUCCCGACUUACCAACCCGAUGCAAACUGCGAAUACCGGAGAAUGUUAUCACGGGAGACACACGGCGGGUGCUAACGUCCGUCGUGAAGAGGGAAACAACCCAGACCGCCAGCUAAGGUCCCAAAGUCAUGGUUAAGUGGGAAACGAUGUGGGAAGGCCCAGACAGCCAGGAUGUUGGCUUAGAAGCAGCCAUCAUUUAAAGAAAGCGUAAUAGCUCACUGGUCGAGUCGGCCUGCGCGGAAGAUGUAACGGGGCUAAACCAUGCACCGAAGCUGCGGCAGCGACACUGUGUGUUGUUGGGUAGGGGAGCGU